AACGUAGGAGACAAACGUUAUCCGGAAUUACUGGGCUUAAAGGGUUUGUAGGCGGCUUUGUAAGUCAGGUGUGAAAGCCCUCGGCUCAACCGAGGAACAGCGCUUGAUACUGCAAGGCUUGAGGGAGACAGGGGUAAGCGGAACUGAUGGUGGAGCGGUGAAAUGCGUUGAUAUCAUCAGGAACACCGGUGGCGAAAGCGGCUUACUGGGUCUCUUCUGACGCUGAGGAACGAAAGCUAGGGUAGCGAACAGG
rnacentral:rRNA from 1 species